CCCUAAAUUUGAACCCAGAUCCUCCUCUGUUAGGAGUGGACGCUGAACUAUUAAUUUUUUAGGUUAGUGGCCUUGUAGGACAAUACAAUCCUUGGCAGAAAUUUUCUUUCAGAUACCGGUUUGGUUGCACACCUGUCUGAUAAUAUCCAAAUUACGGUGAAAGCAAGCUUGCAUGUGAAAUACUGUAUAUUGUAGCCAAAAACAUCUUUUAAAAUAUUGAAUUUUCGGAAUGGUGUUUCUUCUAAGUUUGGAGAAUGUACAUAAUAGAAUUUAGAUGGCUCAUGGUUGAUCUUUCACCAAUAAGAUUAUGGAAAUAGAAGAUGAUUCGCCAAAAAAGUAAAACAUUCAACAGUGGCGAAUCCUGGAAUUCGAGAUUGUCCCAGGUCAAAUCUACCGAUCCAUCAAGAAGUGCGAGAUCAAUGUCAUCCAUCGUCACCAGAACACGAUGUGUAUUAAAUCGCCGGAUCACAAUGUACUACAGUAUUAAUAACCGGAUAUAUGUGGUUUUCUGCAAAUAAUCGCGCACCGAUAUUCAUUAGGUUUUAAACCACUACAUUGGAAAUUGUUAAAUUAUGUUUCUUGUAUAACAAAAAGUAAUCCUUGAACGAUAUUACAUACGUAUAUAUAAUU